CCUACGGGUGGCAGCAGUGGGGAAUAUUGCACAAUGGGGGAAACCCUGAUGCAGCGAAGCCGCGUGAGCGAUGCAGUCUUUCGGUAUGUAAAACUCUAUCAGCCAGGGAGAAAAUGACGGUACCUGACUAAUAAGCCCCGGCUAACUACGUGCCAGCAGACCCGGUAAUACGUAGGGUGCAAGCGUUAUCCAGAUUUACUGGGUGUAAAGGGCGCGUAGACGGCGAUGCAAGCCAGAGGUGAACACCCGGGGCUCAACCCCCGGACUGCAUUUGGAACUGUAUAGCUGGAGUGUAGGAGAGGCAGGCGGAAUUCCUAGUGUAGCGGUGAAAUGCGUAGAUAUUAGGAGGAACAACAGUGGCGAAGGCGGCCUGAUGGACGAUCACUGACGUGGAGGCGCGAAAGCGUGGGGAGCAAACAGGAUUAGAUACCCUAGUAGUC
rnacentral:rRNA from 1 species